rnacentral:lncRNA from 1 species
UGUCCUUUGCAAGAGCAGCAGUGUGUUUAACCUCUGAACCAUCUGUCUCGACCCCUGUGUCUGCUAAUGUCUUUGUUUGGGCGAAUAUGCCAUGAUUAUGUAAAAAAAUGUACGUGGGCCAGAGAUGAGUAGAGGCAGAGGGAGUUUUAAUAAUCUCUUCAUCUUUUCUUUUUAAUCUAAAAUUAUCCCAGAAUAAAAAGUUAGAGAAAGAAAUGAAGAGCAUUCCUAUUUGGGAGAGAUUGUGGGUGCUGACCUUGCUUUCUUAGUUUAUAAUGAGAAUUAUCUUAUGUUAACUAAAGUCAAGAAAGUGCGCGAUUUUGAAAGAAGAAGGUGGCAUAUGAAAUAGAAUUGUGGGGUCCUUUGGCUACUUGAACCUGUCUCCAUCAGGCUUCCUGGGUCCUUUAGAGUUAAAACUCUGCCCUCCUGGGUGCCGCCUGGCAGGCCAGAUAGGCUGCGGCGAUUAGGAACAUGGACUUUGGAAUGAAUCAGGGAGAGCUGGUUUGAAGCCCUGUCCUGCCAGCUGCAUGGCCUUGGGCAGUCAUUUUUGUCUGUGGCUUAUUUUCU